CCCAGUUUCCUAUAUUUUCGAGCGGUUAUAGGCUCAAUUACCUGUAUUGAGUGAAACGGCAUCACUGCAGCGAUUGAUUUUCUCUUUCUCGCUGAACUGUCAAAACACGGAUGCGAACAUUAUAAUAUUGAAGAAACAGUCUCAAAUAUCAACUGGUUUUUGUGUACUUAUUUUGCAGUUAGAAUACUUAUCGAUGCGGAAAAUAUUGCUAAAGUUUCUCUGCCUCGGAAGCAAGCAAAUAAAAAAACAGCAUAAGGAAUUCCCAAAUCGAAUUAUGGACAGAAUUGAAUUCCACGAUGGCACAAUGGCAAAAUAAUGUUCCAUUAUUAUUGAGAGUAGCAGGAACAGCGAAAACAUGCAACUGAUUUGGAUGAUUGAAAGAAGCUUAUGUGUAGUUUUAUCCAAAAUUCAACAAACGGCGAACAUCCUAGAAAAUAUAGCGAGUCAAAACAUUUUUUUUUAAUCUUUAUUUUUGAGACUUUCAGCCUCCUGGGCUGGUUCGUCUCAGGAGUGUAAACAUUGAAGAAAAUUUAAGCAUUAAAUUUGACAAUUUGCACUUGACGAACAAUCGGGAAUGGCGAAGCUCUAGGAAGCGAAAAAACAGAAUGCUGGAUGCUGCGUAAGGUAUUUGGGAGAUCAUCGGUGCUCAAUACAAUACUGUACGUUUAGAAGAACAAGUGGCACUUGAAUAAUUGACAAGCACAAAUCCAUAUAUUAUUUAUGAUUAUGAGGAUGUGCCACUUUACUUCAAGAAAUCAACGCAAUCUCUAUGUUUCCUAUAAUCCCUAUAUAGAAAUAUAUGAAAAU